CUUGUUAUGUGAAGCCUUCGGCUCACCGAAGAAGUGCAUUGGAAACUGGGAGACUUGAGUGCAGAAGAGGACAGUGGAACUCCAUGUGUAGCGGUGAAAUGCGUAGAUAUAUGGAAGAACACCAGUGGCGAAGGCGGCUGUCUGGUCUGUAACUGACGCUGAGGCUCGAAAGCAUGGGUAGCGAACAGGAUUAGAUACCCUGGUAGUCCAUGCCGUAAACGAUGAUUACUAAGUGUUGGAGGGUUUCCGCCCUUCAGUGCUGCAGCUAACGCAUUAAGUAAUCCGCCUGGGGAGUACGACCGCAAGGUUGAAACUCAAAAGAAUUGACGGGGGCCCGCACAAGCGGUGGAGCAUGUGGUUUAAUUCGAAGCUACGCGAAGAACCUUACCAGGUCUUGACAUCUUCUGCCAACCUAAGAGAUUAGGCGUUCCCUUCGGGGACAGAAUGACAGGUGGUGCAUGGUUGUCGUCAGCUCGUGUCGUGAGAUGUUGGGUUAAGUCCCGCAACGAGCGCAACCCUUAUUACUAGUUGCCAGCAUUCAGUUGGGCACUCUAGUGAGACUGCCGGUGACAAACCGGAGGAAGGUGGGGACGACGUCAAAUCAUCAUGCCCCUUAUGACCUGGGCU
rnacentral:rRNA from 1 species